UCUUAUAAAAAUCCUGUCUGAGGUCACUCUCCCCGGGCUCUGUCCUCGUGGCCUAGGGGAGCAUAGGGCUCUGCCCAAUGGUGUAUAGUACCUUUUCACAAUGUUGAAUAUGAAGCCAGGCUUCCCAGAGUCCUGUGAACAGUGACUAGGGAGAUAAACCAUGCAGAA
rnacentral:snoRNA from 1 species